UACGUAGGGUGCAAGCGUUAAUCGGAAUGACUGGGCGUAAAGCGUGCGUAGGUGGUUGACUAAGUCGAGCGUGAAAGCCCCGGGCUUAACCCGGGAACUGCGUUCGAUACUGGUCGGCUAGAGUGCGGCAGAGGGAAGCGGAAUUCCGCGUGUAGCAGUGAAAUGCGUAGAUAUGCGGAGGAACACCGGUGGCGAAGGCGGCUUCCUGGGCCAAAACUGACACUGAGGCACGAAAGCGUGGGGAGCAAACAGG
rnacentral:rRNA from 1 species